UUUGCUCCUUACAAGUGAGAGAAGUACUAUGGCAUGAGUGGAGUCGGAAAAAAAAACAGAUGGCUCGUGAUAAAAGGAAAGUCGUUGUUCAAAGUGACAAUGAGACUAGGCAUUCUCCGAGGCAAAAGUGUGUCUGACCUCUUAUCUAAAGUCGAAGUGGUGUAGUGAUUAGUGAGCCUAUCGAGAGGCAUGUCACUCAUCAAGCCAAGCAUGUAGAGACCAGGACGAAGGCUCGUUUUGAUCACCCAACUAAAGUCAUGCAUGUAGAGGCUAGGACGAAGGCCCGUUUUGAUCGCUCAACCACUCCUAAGACCACGAGCAGUUCCCCCUACUUUGAGCCCAACAUAUUCUCCAUCUCUAGGAGUUUGUGAUGAUGUCCCUAGGGUGGACCUAUCUCGUCGGGAGUUUGGUCAAGAGUUUUCUUAUGACAUAAAGGCAUUUAGUACUUAUGAGCCCACUGCACAAUGCAUGCAUCUCCUCGACUGAUAUUAUUUUCUCUCAUUGAUGGAUCCUCCCCAAUAUUUUUAUGUCGCUAAUGUACGAGAGUUCUUCUCUACUCUUAAGGAUUGGAGAAGGGGGUAUCGAAAGCUCCAUUUUUCUAUCAGAAGACGAGCUGAUAUUAUUUCCACUGAGACCAUUGUUGCAGCCUUUGGUUUACCGUCAUUCACUCAUCCUGAAGCCCAAUUUGCACCUCAGUCACGACCAGUUUUUUUUAGGAUUGCACGUAUACUAGCACCUUGGGGUACCCACUAUCGUUCAGCCAUCACUCGCCUUGAGAUGCCACAUACCUUAUGGUUUGUGGAUCAAGUCAUUAAGACUAACAUUUUUCCAUUUAGACACUCUAUAGAGUGCUCUGGUUUAGUUUUAUGGGGGUUAUAUCACAUGUACACAGGCGAAUGGUAGAGUCCAGCUUAACUCAUCAUGGAUACCAUCAUUUAUUUUUUUCAAAAGGUCAAGGAGAAACAGUGAGCUUCAGCUCAAAGCUAUCUCAUUCUUUUGCCUCGGUUGCUUUCAUACUACUUGCUUCAUCGUGGACACCAAUUACAUGAGUCUAAUCGUCGUAUGGCUUCUCACUUAUGUUAUCAAUCAGUGGGUUUGAGCGAUUCAUUCAGGGUCACAGUUGACUACCUUUGGCACUAGAUGAAAGAGAGCUUUGCAUGUUAUUCCACUUCCAUCUACUACAGAGAGCCCGCUCCCGCCUACUCCUACUUUUGACACGAGGUUUCCAGUGUUUCCUAUUCCUCUUCCACCACCUCUUUCGAGUGCCCUAGAGCCUGCCAUUCCUAUUUCCACACCAGUAGUAUCGGUCUCCAAUCUUUCUAGACCUUCACAGCCUUAGGUUGUCGAUGCUACCCCAAGUACCUUAUCAAUCAUGGCUUGUCUAGUCACACUUUAGGAGUUAUUUGUGUCCAUGGACUCCCACAUUGAUGCUCGCCUAAGUAAGAUGGAGACUCAAAUGGAUGACCUCACUUUUUCUAUACAAUGGCUUACUUCCUUGGUUAUUCCAUCUAGAUAGAGGGAAAAUUUUGUUACACCAGUUGAUACCAGCUUAUAGAUUGACGGUGGCACAUAUGUGAUUGGUUCUAGCUUUAACACUAGGGCACCAACAGUAGCCCAUGAGACCAUGUCUAUUUUAUAGAUAUCAGGUGAUGUUGCAGCUAAGAUUUUUACCUCAACUAUUGAUAUUCCAGAUUCUGAAGGACAGGUCGAUGGUGAGAUCUUCAUUUGUGCUACUGACACUGGUGUGGACAUCAUUAUCAGGGAUGACCCCCCUAUGGUACAGGAUGUUGGAAAGGUCAUUACACUUAUCAUGGAGAUCACCGAUCAAGCUACUACACCUAUGUUGGAGGAAAUAGAUGGAGUUGUCGAUCCUAUUAAUGGCGCUUGAUUUUCAUUUCUAUAUAUAUACCUUAUUCGAUAUGGUUGUAUACACUAUGGUAUUUUUGGAGCAUACUAAUACUCUUAUACUCUCUUUUAGAUUCUCACCAUUUAUAUUUUUCUCUAUGCAUACUUUUGCUACUAAUCUUGUUGCAUUUGUGCAAGACUAGUUUGUAUGAAAUCAUUAUAACAAACUUCUCACUCGAUGAUCUUGAGGUAA